GACGAACGCUGGCGGCGUGCCUAAUACAUGCAAGUCGAGCGAAUCUUUUGGGAGCUUGCUCCCUUAAGAUUAGCGGCGGACGGGUGAGUAACACGUGGGUAACCUGCCUGUAAGACUGGGAUAACUUCGGGAAACCGGAGCUAAUACCGGAUAGGUUCUUUUCUCGCAUGAGGGAAGAUGGAAAGAUGGUUCUGCUAUCACUUACAGAUGGACCCGCGGCGCAUUAGCUAGUUGGUGAGGUAACGGCUCACCAAGGCGACGAUGCGCAGCCGAGCUGAGAGGGUGAUCGGCCACACUGGGACUGAGACACGGCCCAGACUCCUACGGGAGGCAGCAGUAGGGAAUCUUCCGCAAUUGACGAAAGUCUGACGGAGCAACUUCGCGUGAGCGAAGAAGGCCUUCGGGUCGUAAAGCUCUGUUGUUAGGGAAGAACAAGUACGAGAGUAACUGCUCGUACCUUGACGGUACCUAAACAGAAAGCCACGGCUAACUUCGUGCCAGCCGCCGCGGUAAAAC
rnacentral:rRNA from 1 species